AGCCCCGUAGUGUAGCGGUCAAUCAUUCGAGACUCUGGAGGUAAUGGAAGAAUACGUAAAUUAUCCAUUACCGGAAAUAUCUCGAGACCCCAGUUCGAAUCUGGGCGGGGCUA
rnacentral:tRNA from 1 species